rnacentral:rRNA from 1 species
CAGCCGCCGCGGGAAUACGUAGGGUCCGAGCGUUGUCCGGAAUUAUUGGGCGUAAAGGGCUCGUAGGCGGUUUGUUGCGUCGGGAGUGAAAACCCAGGGCUUAACUUUGGGCUUGCUUUCGAUACGGGCAGACUUGAGGCAUUGAGGGGAGAACGGAAUUCCUGGUGUAGCGGUGAAAUGCGCAGAUAUCAGGAGGAACACCGGUGGCGAAGGCGGUUCUCUGGGAAUGUUCUGACGCUGAGGAGCGAAAGUGUGGGGAGCGAACAGGAUUAGAUACCCCUGUAGUCCCUGUCUCUUAUAU